UCUAACAAUAUUUUUUUUUAAAAAAAUAAUACUUCCUACUCCACAAAAAAACUCGGUAAACGGCCCUAACUCGUUCAACUCGUUUGAUAACUGACUAUUUUUAUCAAAACAACAUCUCGAGUCCUAAUCUGGCGGAGCCAGCGAGCCAUCCUCAUCAAAAUACUCAUCCAAUAAGAGGAGAGCACACCGAUCGCGUUUCCUCAAAUUUCAUCUGCUACCCUCCUCAUCCUCCUCCUCAAGCUUCGUUCCCCAUCUCGAAAUCCUUCACCAUUCUCCUGAGAAGGACGCUAACUUCGAAGAAGGGGAAGCGCGUGAUCAUCUCCAUCUCCUCCUCCUCCUCCUCCGCCAAGGAAGAAGAAACUGAAGCGCAAGAAGAAGAUUCUGAGGAUGAAGAAUCCUCGAGACCACGCACACCGUCGGCCGCCUCCGCGCAGACCAAGCUUUUCCUCAGGAACUUGUCCACCGCCCAUGAGUGGGGAGUCGUCGGGACUACAUCGAGGCUAUGUGGCUCAUGCUGCAACAACACGAGCCCGAUGACAAUGUCAUCUCCACCGGGCAGCUCGCCUGCAGCUACCCCACCCUCAUCCUCCAUGAAGAUGGCAUCCCCAUCACCCUUUGUCUCUCCCCCUUCUAGGGUUUUGAUGUCCUCCCACUGUAAAGCUAUGGUUUUUGAUCAAUUCCUUAUUUUCUGAUAUUAGGAGAAAAUCAACACUUGGUGAAGGCCAUGAAUUUCUUUGUUAUUAAUACCAAAAAUUGUUGUUUUAAAGUGAAUCCUAUUCACUAUUUUUGAUUCAUUAAUUAGCUUAUUUAUCGAUGCAUAAUUGCUGGAUCUAUUACUCUA